rnacentral:rRNA from 1 species
GUGGGGAAUUUUGGACAAUGGACGCAAGUCUGAUCCAGCCAUUCCGCGUGCAGGAUGAAGGCCCUCGGGUUGUAAACUGCUUUUGUACGGAACGAAAAGCGCUGAGUUAAUACCUCGGCGUCAUGACGGUACCGUAAGAAUAAGCACCGGCUAACUACGUGCCAGCAGCCGCGGUAAUACGUAGGGUGCAAGCGUUAAUCGGAAUUACUGGGCGUAAAGCGUGCGCAGGCGGUUAUGUAAGACAGGUGUGAAAUCCCAGGGCUUAACCUUGGAACUGCAUUUGUGACUGCAUAGCUAGAGUACGGUAGAGGGGGAUGGAAUUCCGCGUGUAGCAGUGAAAUGCGUAGAUAUGCGGAGGAACACCGAUGGCGAAGGCAAUCCCCUGGACCUGUACUGACGCUCAUGCACGAAAGCGUGGGGAGCAAACAGG